rnacentral:rRNA from 1 species
UACAGAGGGUGCGAGCGUUGUCCGGAAUCACUGGGCGUAAAGGGCGCGUAGGUGGCGCUCCAAGUCUGUGGUGAAAGCUCGACGCUCAACGUCGAGUCGGCCAUAGAGACUGGAGGGCUCGAGCACUGUAGGGGCAGAUGGAAUUCCGGGUGUAGCGGUGGAAUGCGUAGAGAUCCGGAAGAACACCGGUGGCGAAGGCGGUCUGCUGGGCAGUUGAUGACACUGAGGCGCGACAGCGUGGGGAGCAAACAGG